UACAGAGGGGGCAAGCGUUGUUCGGAAUUACUGGGCGUAAAGGGCGCGUAGGCGGCCUUCUAAGUCGAACGUGAAAUCCCCGGGCUCAACCCGGGAACUGCGUCCGAUACUGGAAGGCUUGAAUCCGGGAGAGGGAUGCGGAAUUCCAGGUGUAGCGGUGAAAUGCGUAGAUAUCUGGAGGAGCACCGGUGGCGAAGGCGGCAUCCUGGACCGGCAUUGACGCUGAGGCGCGAAAGCCAGGGGAGCAAACGGG
rnacentral:rRNA from 1 species